UACAGAGGGGGCAAGCGUUGUUCGGAAUUACUGGGCGUAAAGGGCGCGUAGGCGGCCUGCUAAGUCGAACGUGAAAUCCCCGGGCUCAACCCGGGAACUGCGUCCGAUACUGGUUGGCUUGAAUCCGGGAGAGGGAUGCGGAAUUCCAGGUGUAGCGGUGAAAUGCGUAGAUAUCUGGAGGAACACCGGUGGCGAAGGCGGCAUCCUGGACCGGCAUUGACGCUGAGGUGCGAAAGCGUGGGGAGCAAACAGG
rnacentral:rRNA from 1 species